rnacentral:misc_RNA from 1 species
AUCAGCAGCUACAGAUUUCAUAUGGAGGGGGCUCCAACAACCCAAUGCAGAAGACAGAAAAGCUGUGGACAAGGUCAGCUUGUUCAUCGAUGACAUAGAUGGUGUUGCUGCUUAUGCUUCCAACAAUGAAAUCCAUUUCAGCGCAAAUUAUAUAGGAAAUUACUCUGGUGAUCUGAAAAGGGAAUAUACUGGUGUUCUUUACCAUGAAAUGACCCACAUCUGGCAAUGGUAUGGUAAUGGGCAAGCUCAAGGAGGGUUAACUGAAGGAGUUGCUGAUUUUGUGAGGUUGAAGGCUAACUAUGCUCCCAGCCACUGGGUGCAGCCAGGACAGGGUGAUAGGUGGGAUCAAGGGUAUGAUGUUACAGCUAGGUUUUUGGACUAUUGUAAUGAUCUGAGAAAUGGGUUUGUGGCUGAACUUAACAAGAAGAUGAGAGAUGGUUAUAGUGAUCAGUACUUCGUCGAUCUCCUAGGGAAGACUGUUGAUCAGCUCUGGAGCGAUUACAAGGCCANNNNNNNNNNNNAAUAGAGCUGUUAGAAUUUUGUAGAAAAUAAAACUCAUAAUGUAUUAUUUACUAAAUAAUGUACCC